rnacentral:misc_RNA from 1 species
CGGGGUCGCAAAUGCAGAUGCUUCUAAGGAGCUUUUAGGACUAUCUACAUUGUAUGUCUUAUGCAUGCGGAAGUCAUUUCCUGCAUUUUGGGUUUCGUUACACUCAUCUUUUGAGUUCUGAUCAGAUAAGACACUGUCGUUGCCAUGACUCUGAACUUCAAAUAGCUUGUUAGAUCCAGCCUUUAUUAAAAGCUCCAUGAAAGAACUAGAGCUGUUCCAACUAUUAAAUUUAGAUACAUCAAUUAAAUCUUCUGCUUCUGAGUUCCC